UCUCCUGGAAACGGGUGGUAAUGCCGGAUGUUCCACAUGAGCGCAUGCGAGUGUGGGAAAGGCUUUUUGCGGCAUGGGAUGGGGUCGCGUCCUAUCAGCUUGUUGGUGGGGUAACGGCCUACCAAGGCGUUGACGGGUAGCCGGCCUGAGAGGGCGACCGGCCACAUUGGGACUGAGAUACGGCCCAGACUCCUACGGGAGGCAGCAGUGGGGAAUAUUGCACAAUGGGCGCAAGCCUGAUGCAGCGACGCCGCGUGCGGGAUGGAGGCCUUCGGGUUGUAAACCGCUUUUGUUCAAGGGCAAGGCACGGUUUCGGCCGUGUUGAGUGGAUUGUUCGAAUAAGCACCGGCUAACUACGUGCCAGCAGCCGCGGUAAUACGUAGGGUGCAAGCGUUAUCCGGAUUUAUUGGGCGUAAAGGGCUCGUAGGCGGUUCGUCGCGUCCGGUGUGAAAGUCCAUCGCUUAACGGUGGAUCCGCGCCGGGUACGGGCGGGCUUGAGUGCGGUAGGGGAGACUGUAAUUCCUCGGUGUAACGGUGGAAUGUGUAGAUAUCGGGAAGAACACCA
rnacentral:rRNA from 1 species